rnacentral:RNase_P_RNA from 1 species
UGCGGCCGCUGAGGCGGUCGCAUCCUUUGCUGCCCGCAAGAGCAACCAAGGAUGAGGAAAGUCCGAACUGUGGGGCCGGCGCAGGUUCGACCCGUGCCGCCCCGGGCGCGGUGCUUGCCAACGGCAAGGCGGAGUAAUCCGACGGAAAGUGCAACAGAAAAAAUACCGCCGGGAGCAGUUGUCAGUCCUUAGCUGCCAGUGUGUUCGCCUUGUACUGGUAACUGACAACUGGCAACUGCUUCCGGUAAGGGUGAAAUGGUGCGGUAAGAGCGCACCGCGCCGGGGGUGACUCCGGCGGCAAGGCAAACCCCACCGUCAGCAAGACCAAAUAGGCGGAGCACGCCCAAGCCCUGGGCGUCCUGGCUUUCGCCAGGACAACUCCGCGGGUAGGUCGCUUGAGGCGUGCGGCAACGCACGUCCCAGAGAAAUGAUCGCCCUCCCUUGGGCAACCAUCGGAGAACAGAAUUCGGCUUAUGCGCUGCCGCAGCAU